AUCUCUACUCUUUCCUUGUUCCUUUUUCUCCUUUCCCUUGCGGAUGUCACGGAAUUCUCCUUGGGAGUGGCUUCAGUCCGUUGUUCAGGGGUUGCUUGGGUCUCUAUAAAGACAUGGGUCAUGAUGUCAUGAAUGUUUCUGAGCCUGACACAAUGGUCAGGGGCCAGCCUGUGGACACAUUGACCCUGGCUCUGCUUCCCUGUCUGUGAUGCAGUGCACGCUAGGCGGCUUUGAGGAGCUGCAGAGCAUGAAGGCUGAGAAGCGCAGCAUCCUGGGCCUCCCCCCGCUUCCUGAGGACAGCAUCAAAGUGAUUCGCAACAUGAGAGCAGCCUCUCCACCAGCAUCUGCUUCAGACUUGAUUGAGCAGCAGCAGAAACGGGGCCGCCGAGAGCACAAGGCUCUGAUAAAGCAGGACAACCUAGAUGCCUUCAAUGAGCGGGAUCCCUACAAGGCUGAUGACUCUCGAGAAGAGGAAGAGGAGAAUGAUGAUGACAACAGUCUGGAGGGGGAGACGUUUCCCCUGGAACGGGAUGAAGUGAUGCCUCCCCCGCUACAGCACCCACAGACUGACAGGCUGACUUGCCCCAAAGGGCUCCCGUGGGCUCCCAAGGUCAGAGAGAAAGACAUUGAGAUGUUCCUUGAGUCCAGCCGCAGCAAAUUUAUAGGUUACACUCUAGGCAGUGACACGAACACAGUGGUGGGGCUGCCCAGGCCAAUCCACGAAAGCAUCAAGACUCUGAAACAGCACAAGUACACGUCGAUUGCAGAGGUCCAGGCACAGAUGGAGGAGGAAUAUCUCCGCUCCCCUCU
rnacentral:sRNA from 1 species